rnacentral:rRNA from 1 species
GACGAACGCUGGCGGCGUGCCUAACACAUGCAAGUCGAACGGAGAGCAUUGUACGGAGACUUCGGUUGAAGAAUGAUGUAUCUUAGUGGCGGACGGGUGAGUAACGCGUGAGCAACCUACCUUUCAGAGGGGGACAACAGUUGGAAACGACUGCUAAUACCGCAUAACAUUGCGAGUGGACAUCCACAUGCAAUCAAAGGAGCAAUCCGCUGAAAGAUGGGCUCGCGUCCGAUUAGAUAGUUGGUGGGGUAACGGCCUACCAAGUCGACGAUCGGUAGCCGGACUGAGAGGUUGAACGGCCACAUUGGGACUGAGACACGGCCCAGACUCCUACGGGAGGCAGCAGUGGGGGAUAUUGCACAAUGGGCGAAAGCCUGAUGCAGCAACGCCGCGUGAGGGAUGACGGUUUCGGAUUGUAAACCUCUGUCUUCAGUGAUGAUAAUGACAUUAGCUGA